UCCAAUUAAGCCUUGGUGACUCUGAGGCUGGACUCUCCUUUAAAGGAUGUUAUGAGAAUUCAACAUAAUCCUGAAAAAGUAAACCUAAAUCCAAGCCUUUUCCCAAGCCAAACUACUUAUACUUACUAAAAAUGUAAGCAUGCCUGGAGAAUCAGAAAGAUGUAUAUUGCUAAUGUUUGCUCCCAUGAGACCCACUUCACAUACUCACAAAAUCAUAACAUUUUCUCAAAACAACGGUAGUACUGUACACCCUAACAUAAUUCAUUUUUAAGCAGUGCUAAUGACAUUAGUAAAGGAAAAUGUCAGCCAAGCUGCAAUAAAACAUUUCCAGCCCAAUAAAAGUACUGUAGUUGUGUUGGGUGCUUUAAAAUUACUGGUUUUGAAAGGUUAAAAUAAUAAGUGAUCACGGAUCCAAGAAAUACAAUGCUCAAGUCAUUAGCAGAGACAUUUUCUGCUGUAUCAUAAUUAAAGUUUCAGGAACUCCUCAGUUUAGAUCCUGUAAGGUGAUCUCCAUAGGACCCCCUCUGCUAUGCGCUUCCUCUCUGAAGAAAGAAAGUUAAAUACAGGACCAAUUACACAUAUCUUAGGAAAUUUUUAAAAGUUAUAUUUUGCUCUGUAAUACCCAUGUGUAAUUCCUUUUGGACAUGAUGACCUGGCCUUUUGGAAAUGCCUUAAACCAGAUAAAAACACACUGUGAUGAUCUAUUUUCCCAAAGACUGAAACUUAUAUUGGUCUAAUUUUCCUGCCACACCACCUUUUCAGAAGAUUUUUCUGCUUCUUAUAUCCAUAACAAAAGCAGACACAGUCAUGUCUCAGGUGUAAGAGAAUAUAUCAUUUAUUGAGCUUUGUGAUUAGGUAUUUGACAUACAUUGUAUUUUGUCCUCAACCAGGUGUAUUACUAUUGCCAUUAUAUCUGUAAUGACAUAGUCCAGAGAAGUAAAAUUGUCCUUGAGGUCCAUAGUAGUGAAUGGAAAUAAGAUGAACCUGAGAACAUCUGACUCCCCAGGUUGUGUACUCUUCCCCCAGAGUGAAUCAUCCUAAAGUGAGUUAUGUUACUAAUCCUCUCCUCUACAUCGUAGUAUGUUUGGGCUUAAAAGCUAAGCUAGAGUUUCCAGGAGGAGCACAAAUAAACAAGAGAGAGUGCAAGGUCUGAACAAAGAUCUUUAAUAUCAACCCUUUCUGUUAACGACAGCAUGAGAGCAGGACUUGCUUCAAAUAAUCCAAAAUUAGUGGUUACAUACUUCGUGCAAAAAACCUAACUUGCUUGCUUGCUUGCUUCAUCUUUUUAGGGCCACGGCUGCAGCCCUCAUUCCCAGGAUAGGGGUCAAAUCUCAGCUACAGCUGCCGGCCUACACCACAGCCACACAGGAUCCGAGCCGCGUCUGAGACCUACACCACAGCUUGAGGCAACGCCAGAUCCUUAACUCACGGAGCGAGGUCAGGGAUCCAAAUCCUCAUGGAUAUUAGUUGGGUUUUUAACCUACUGAGCCACAAUAGGAAUUCCUGUUUCUAAUUCAGUUAAAAUUUUGGAACUGAACUAUUUUAAGUUCAAUUGAAAUUUUGUACAUUGUAUAUUAAAUCCAUUCAGAGAACUCAUUAUUUAACGAAAGCAUGAAGUCAGUUCCUCUGUUGAACGAGAGGGUAUUUACAUCCUAGUUUACCUCCUUUGUAAAGCUGGAAUUUCCACUUUGUAAUUCAGCCACUUCCACAGAUGUUUAUUUCAGACUACAGGGCACGAGGCACUGUGCCAGGGGAUGAGCUGAGCAAAGACAUUGUCCUCAGAGAGCUUAGAGCCUAAUGGGGCAAGAGUUAAAUAGCAAAACAAAACAAAACAGUCUACUAGAAAGCAAUGUAUAUGUGUCACAUGAGAAUUCUCAAAGUACCAUGAGAUAUCAAAGGAGACAGAACUUACAUCUAUGUCUGGCAACCAGGGGACGCUUCAUGAGGUAGAAGGCAGAUGAAAUGAGUGAAAAGAUGAGUACUUUUUUGACAAGAUGAGAGUGAGAGAUGAGAAGGAAUUUCUGAACACAGCUGGAGCUUAUCUGUUACCAAUGAUUCUAAUUAAGUCAAAGUCUUAGUGCUAUGAAAUACAGUCAAGAUAUGCAUUUAUUUGUAAUCCACUCCAGAGGCUUUGAGAGAACAUAUGAUUAAACUUCACAUAAAACAGGAUAGUUAAAAAUAAAGAUUAUAUGGGAAUGCUUUUACUCCCCGCUUAAUUUUCCUCUAAACCUAACACAGAUCAAAAAAUCAGGAGUUCUUCUUGUGGCACAGCGGAAACAAAUCCGACUGGUAUCCAUGAGGAUGUGGGUUCCAUGCCCAGCCUCGCUCAGUGGGUUAAGGAUCCUGCAUUGCUGUGAGCUGUGGUGUGGGUCGCAGACAUGGCUUGGAUCCCACGUUGCUAUGGCUGUGGUGCAGUUGGACCCCCUAGCCUGGGAACCUCCACAUGCUGAGGGUGCGGCCCUAAAAAGAAAAAAAUAUAUGUAUAUAUUAAAGGUUAUUGUUUUAAAAAAUAAAGGUAGACUGUUAUAGUUCAGUUAUUUUUUUAAUUAAGGAAAAUUCUUCAACACUUUAAUGCUGGAUAUUAUCACAGGUGGCUUACAUUAUCUUAUGGACGAUCCAGUCUAACACUCCAUCCUCCUCAAGGUUAGAGUUCUUCAACUCAACUUGGCUGGCUCCACUCACAUCAAUGGAGUCUCCCAGAUCUUGUAUCACCCUAUUCUAAAAUUUUAAAUUCCAGUCAUUCUCUGACUAUCUCUUCCUAUCAUUCCAAACCCACCAUUUCCUAUUCAACUGCUCUUUGGAACUCACUGAAGCUUACAGUCCAUUGACCAUGCGAGUUUUCCCAAUUUACCCUUUUAGCUUAUGUGCCCUCAUCCAAUCAGUCACCUCUUGUGCACACCUUAGAUGCUUUGCUCCAGUGUCUAUUGAAAUCUUCCAGCAACAUCUGAGCCCUUCAUAAAUCUGCCUCUUCUCCCCUUUCUUUACCCCAAAUAGUUAUCACAGCUGAAGAAACUCUUAACACCAUGCAGUUGCUCCCACUACACAUGGUCUGAAGCCUCACUCCUGCCCUCCACACAAGGCAGCUCUUCCAUUGUCCACUGCAAGCCAUUGUAAUCUCCUCAAGCCUUCUGUCUUGCCUGUUUCCCUCUCACUCUUAGCAGUGAGCCAUAUCUCCUCUACAAAGAACUUAGAAGUCAUUAAGUGUUGUUCUCUCUCCCAGCUCCCACCUCACACCGCUCUGAACACAUCCAUCCACACCCUCUCCUAACUCCUUCCUUCAGCUCAGUGGAAAAGGCAUCUCUCUCCCAGACCAGGGCUAGCAUCUCUCUUUGUGCCCUGAGCCCCCUUCAGUAUUGCUACUUGAGAGACCUUGCUCCUUUAAUUAUCCCCUUUAACUAAUUUCUACCACUCUGUCUCUUUGUGCUGACUCUGUCUUCUCAACAUAAAAACAGUCUCAAGUCUCUUCUAUUUAUAAAAACACAAACCCUCCCUUAAACCCAGACCCCUCUCCCCAGCACAGCUACUUUCAGUUCUCUUUCCUCCUUUCCCAAGCCAAGCUAAUGGAAGGAAUAAUCUACUACUAAUACCUUGCAAGCCACAAUACCAAUGUCCAAAGUAAGACAAGGAGGAUACAAAAGAACCCAGGCUUGAUACCAUUUUAUACAUAAAGACUCCAUUCAUGACAUCAGUCCCAAACUCCCAGGACUCCCUUCAAGCUUAGCUAGACAGGCUAUUCAUGUCCCUGCCUAAAAGACUGUUUAUAGUAUUUUCAUGUGAUUUUUCUCUUUCUAAUGCCAUUGCCAGAACAUGUGGGAAUGGAUGAUAUGCAGUCAGAGUCAGAUGGACCUAGACACCUGACUGCCCACCGUCUGUGUGUCUGUCUUACCUCAAUUAGGGAAUCACAGAGAUCUAAGUGUUCAGCGGUUUUCCUCCCCAUGAGUUCUUAGUACAAUCUGCAGGCUCCCUUGAAACCCACUGAACUCCCAACUUCUUAUUUUUAAUAAGCUACCUCUGAUUACCUUCCCUUUCACGUUCACAUGGACUCCCCCCACCCCCCCGAAUCCUGCUCUGCUUAAUACUCAGGUGGCUUUCAGAAAUCUAAAGGAAUGUGCUUGCACAGCGACCUAAGCUUUUCUCUGUGUAGUUAAACUUCUACUCAAGUUUAACUACCACUUGAUCCUGUGAUUACAUUAGUAGGAGACGCCUAAGGACCAGUAAUAGCUUUUUAGGAAAAGAAAUAAGGAAAAGACUACCGUAUAAAUCAAGACACUGGUUGAGCAUAUGUUCCACUUUAAGAGACAUUUAAAUGUGGGGAAAAGUAACUGCUUUUUGGAAUAUAGGAAAUGCAGUAUUUUUUUUUUUUUACUACUCACUAUGCAAGACACUGUGAAGAGAUAUAAAGUGACACAGAGAUGAUCACAUAUGGUACCUCCCCAAAGAACUCCCUAGCGGAGAAGGGAGACAGAAAUCACACACAGUUCAAAUACAAACUGAGUAUUCCAGCAGAGUUGUUAAGGUUACAAUUUUUGGAGUGAAAUCCUGAGUUCAAAUCUUUGCCCAGAUUCCUCAUCUAUAAAAUGGAAAUAAUGAUACCUGCUUUGCAGGAGUGCUGCAAAGAAGAAAUGAGCUAGAUGGUGAAAGUAGAGUUUAUCAUGGGUGAAGCAUAUUGGUUCUCGAUAAGUCAGUGGGAUUUUGGCUAUUAUUAGCUUCAUCAUCAUUAUUAUGGAGAGAUAAACUAGAUACUGUAUGAGUUUGAAGGAAGAAGAGAUCCCAUGUGCUUCAAAGACUCAAGAAAGACCUCAUUCAGUAGGUGGCCCUUGUGAAAAGCCUUGAAGAAUACGUGAUAUUUCUUUAGGGCAAGAUGGAGAAACUGCAUCUAUCUCCAGUCCUGGCAUGGGGACCCAGAGCCUGCCAGCAUAACCACCCUAGGCAUUAUGGGCAGAGAUGAAACUUUGCACAUGGUGAACUUUCCAGUACUUGCUUAUGAUUGUACCUGGUCAGUUCAUUUAUUCAAUAAAUUCCUAUUUAUAUCUUUGAUUUGAAACAGGCAGUACUUGUUAAAGUACUAUAAUAUCCAUGAUAGUCCAAAAAGCAAGUAAAGGAUAUUUUGAAUAAGUGUUACUGUAUAAUAAUUUCAGAAGAGCAUAUUUGUUAUUAAUGACAGACAGUGUAUUAUGUACCUCUUGGCUUGUCAUCCUGUCUAUGGAGUACAUGUUGUAAAGGAAGAAAAGUGGGUAGUUAUAUUUCACAUGAACAUCAAAUUUAAUGUUCCUUCCUUGUAGCUUUAUAAAGUAGAAUUGUGGCAAGAUUGUCCCAAGUUAAUGCCAGGAAAAAUGAAAAAUAAAUGUCUUUUUUAAAAUGUCUCUUAUAUAAACAAGUAAAACCUGUUAAAGUGAUUUCAGUCGUUGAACAUAGGUCAGUUCCCAUUAAAACAAAACUCCAUGGAUAGGUCUGAAUUAUUUUAUGUUGCUAUUUUGUUGUAUCAAGUAUGGCUUAGCAGAAAUUAAAAAUAUGAAAUUUGCAUCAGAGCAAAAUAAAUAUCAAUAUUAUUAUUAAUGUGGCCAGUGUUGGCAGAUUCAAAUAAUUUUGCAAUAAAAGAGUUGUAAUUCUUCCUAUAUUCAUCUUUAAUGGGUGCAGAUUUAUGGCUAAAAAAAUGACCAAGUGAUUUUUUCAUCUCAUUAUAUAGAGAAGUUAAUUUUUGUCUCAGAUGUCUAUUUCAACAAUUGCUUUCAAGAUACUUAUCAGAAAAACACAAUCGAGACAUUGUUAUUAAGAUUUAUGUGUCCUGCAUAAAAAUUAUCUAAGAGGUUCUAUUCAUUAGCAUUCUGUAUCUCUGUCUCAUUCCCAAGGAAUUUUUCUACAAUAAGACCUUGUUUGGGACUAUAAUUAUUGCCUGGGUUUUAAUAGUAUCACUCAUUAUUAAAGUUUGAUAUAAAAUUUUGGACUCUAGCCAUUUGAGAACAUUUCUUACAUGUCAUGUAGAUGAGAUGUUUGGAAUACUCGAACCUGAUUUUGGAGAUAGAGCUGAUCAUGAUCUAGAGAGGCCCUAUUACUUUCUCCUCCACCUACUCUUUCACCUUUAGUAGGCUUAGAUCCCAUCUAGAGCCAUUCCUCAGUUCUUUGGGAACCUUUGCCCAGUGUACUAAUCACCUUUUGCUGUGUACCAAAAAAAUCUCAGUGGUUUGCAAUAAUGAAACACUUACAUUUUGCCUACAGGUUGGCUGGGCACACAUGGCAGCCUAUUCUGAGGGGCGAGUCAGGUUCAGGUAUGUUCCAUGAGUCUUUCAUUCUGGGAUACCAUAAUCCCAAAGUAUGUGGGAUACCACAGACCAGAGACAGGGUUCCAAAAAUCAACAGCCCAUUGCAGAAGGGGAAGCAGUCACUGGUCUGUAGCAAUUCUAAAAUCUCAUUGGGCAAACACGGCCAGGUUCCCAACCUGGAGGUAGGAAAUGUUCCUUGAUCAGUCUCCAGUUCUGUUCCCUGGGAAUGGCUCUUCUUUUCCGUUGUUCUCAUGGCUCUUGGUUCCACUUUCGGGGAGGUAGUUUUCCAUUAUUCCUUUUGGUCACAUCUGAAGAAGUAUAUGUCCUCCCCAGCAGCCAAGGAGCUUCCUCAUCCUACUAUCUGCCUGUGGAAUGUUGGGGACCCCAAGGUCUUUUUGAAAAAAUAAAAUUUUAGUUGAGAAUAGUCUUAGACUUACACAAAAGUUGCUAAGAUAGUACAGAGAGUUCAUAUAUCCAACACCAUGUUUCUCCUAUUACUAACAUCUCACAUUAAUAAGGUACAUUUGUCACAAUUAAUGAACCAAUACUGACACAUUAUUAUUACCCUAAGAUCUUUUAUUAUGGCUCAAGGAGUCUCAGUCUCAUUCAGAAAAAAAAAAAGAAGCUCCUGUGUGGCUCAGUGGUAAUGAACCCAACUAGUACCCAUGAGGAGGCAGGUUUGAUCCUAGCCUUGCUCAGUAGGUUAAGGAUUGGGCAUUGCUGUAAGCUAUGGUAUAGGUCACAGACACGGGGCUUGGAUGCCACAUUUCUGUGGCUGAGGUAUAGGCCGGCAGCUAUAGUUCCUAUUUGACCCCUAGCCUGGGAACUUCCAUAUGGCCCUAAAAACAG
rnacentral:lncRNA from 1 species